rnacentral:ncRNA from 2 species
GUAGAAACGUUGAUGGGAACUAGUAGGACGUCUGUUUUUCCAAAGAGAGCCGGUGGUUGGUGCGAACCGGUGAAAAGCGCGUGUGAAUCCACCCCUGAGUUGCAUGGCGACAGAAGCCAUUGCCGGUUUAAAGGCCGUUAUGUAAUGAAGAGGACUGGCUUUUGCCGGUCAAUCAGGGUGGCAACGCGGGUAGCUCUCGUCCCUUUU